rnacentral:rRNA from 1 species
CCUACGGGUGGCUGCAGUGGGGAAUAUUGCACAAUGGGGGAAACCCUGAUGCAGCGACGCCGCGUGAGCGAGGAAGUAUUUCGGUAUGUAAAGCUCUAUCAGCAGGGACGAAAAAAGACGGUACCUGACUAAGAAGCCCCGGCUAACUACGUGCCAGCAGCCGCGGUAAUACGUAGGGGGCAAGCGUUAUCCGGAUUUACUGGGUGUAAAGGGAGCGUAGACGGCAAGGCAAGCCAGAAGUGAAAGGGCAGGGCUCAACCCUGUACAUGCUUUUGGAACUGUGGUGCUAGAGUGCAGGAGAGGUAAGUGGAAUUCCUAGUGUAGCGGUGAAAUGCAUAGAUAUCACGCAGAACUCCGAUUGCGAAGGCAGCAUACCGGCGCCCAACUGACGCUGAAGCACGAAAGCGUGGGUAUCGAACAGGAUUAGAUACCCGGGUAGUC